UACGUAGGGUGCGAGCGUUAAUCGGAAUUACUGGGCGUAAAGCGUGCGCAGGCGGCUUCGCAAGUCAGGCGUGAAAUCCCCGGGCUUAACCUGGGAAUGGCGUCUGAAACUACGGAGCUGGAGUGUGGCAGAGGGAGGUAGAAUUCCACGUGUAGCGGUGAAAUGCGUAGAUAUGUGGAGGAAUACCGAUGGCGAAGGCAGCCUCCUGGGCCAAACACUGACGCUCAUGCACGAAAAGCGUGGGGGAGCAAACAGG
rnacentral:rRNA from 1 species